CUGCUGCCUUCCGUAGGAGUUUGGACCGUGUCUCAGUUCCAAUGUGGGGACCUUCCUCUCAGAACCCCUACGCAUCGUCGGCUUGGUGGGCCGUUGCCCCACCAACUACCUAAUGCGCCGCAUGCCCAUCCAUGACCGGGGUCGCCCCCUUUGACCGGCAGGGGAUGUCCCCUCCCGGCAUUAUGUUGUAUUAGGCGGGAUUUCUCCCGGUUAUCCAUCUGUCACGGCCAGGUUGCAUACGUGUUACUCACCCGUGCGCCGGUCGCCGGCGG
rnacentral:rRNA from 1 species